AGAGUUUGAUCCUGGCUCAGGAUGAACGCUGGCGGCGUGCCUAAUACAUGCAAGUCGAACGAGGUGCUUUUGUAGCAAUACGAAAGUAUCCUAGUGGCGAACGGGUGAGUAACGCGUUGGUGACCUACCCCAAAGUGUGGGAUAACAGUUCGAAAGAACUGCUAAUACCGCAUGUGGUUAUCGGAUUUAGAAACUGAUAACUAAAGGAGCAAUUCGCUUUGGGAGGGACCUGCGUCCCAUCAGCUAGUUGGUGAGGUAACGGCUCACCAAGGCUACGACGGGUAGGGGACCUGAGAGGGUGACCCCCCACAAUGGAACUGAAACACGGUCCAUACACCUACGGGUGGCAGCAGUAGGGAAUAUUGCACAAUGGGCGAAAGCCUGAUGCAGCAACGCCGCGUGUGCGAUGAAGGCCUUCGGGUCGUAAAGCACUUUUCUGAGAGAUGAGCAAGGACAGUAUCUCAGGAAUAAGUCUCGGCUAACUACGUGCCAGCAGCCGCGGUAAAACGUAGGAGGCGAGCGUUAUCCGGAUUCACUGGGCGUAAAGCGCGUGCAGGCGGUUCGGUAAGUUGGGUAUGAAAUCUCCUGGCUUAACUAGGAGAGGUUAUUCAAUACUACCGGACUUGAGAGUGAUAGAGGAAGAUGGAAUUCCCGGUGUAGUGGUGAAAUGCGUAGAUAUCGGGAGGAACACCAGUGGCGAAAGCGACCUUCUGGAUCAUUUCUGACGCUCAGACGCGAAAGCUAGGGUAGUAAACGGGAUUAGAGACCCCGGUAAUCCUAGCCGUAAACGAUGUAAACUUGGCGUCGGUGGCUUAAACACCAUCGGUGCCGCAGCUAACGCGAUAAGUUUACCGCCUGGGGACUACGAUCGCAAGAUUAAAACUCAAAGGAAUUGACGG
rnacentral:rRNA from 1 species